CCUUCCCCCUAUUUGAGAGCACAUGGAGAUCGGAUCGAUACCCCCCAGAUUUUUUACCACCUCGACCUCGAUCCUGUAUUUGAGAUUCUACAGGGUUCUAGUACAUUCCCUCGAUCUAAUCCUGCUAUUAAGUAGGUGGAUCCCAAUCUUAUUGAGGUCGGGGCCCCUCCUCCAGACGAUAAUCCCGAGGUUCUCCUGGAUAUGCAUAAUCUCAAGGUUAUCAGCCCUUCGGUUCUUAUCUACUCCAACCUUAAAAGCCAUCCCUCUCAAAAUUAGGCCGAAGUUUCACAAUCCUCUUGAGUUCGAGGUUAUCAUCCCACAACUCAUAACAUGCUACAUGUAUCUCCUUAGAGGUGCAGGGCAUUUUAUGUAUCCAUGCUAGAAGGAGGCAUUAGAUUUUUGUUCCCCGAGCUCAAGGGCUUAUUUUUUGAAUGAUCUUGAUAUUUGUCCUGUCUAAUUGUCUCCCGACAAAAUUCACUAUAUUAUUAUUUUUGUCAUAAUAAUGAGAAUUUUAAACUCAAUCUUA